ACAUAGCCGUGAUUCAGUGCAACCUUGAGAAGAUAUUUCCUCCAUCAUUUUUUGAUGUUAUGGAGCAUCUUGUUAUUCACCUGACAAGAGAAUUGGAACUUGGUGGUCUUGUGCAGUAUAGAUGAAUGUAUUUGUAUGAGCGGUAUAUGUACCAUUUGAAGAAGAUGGUGAAAAAUUAUAGUAGGGUGGAAGGUUCUAUAAUCGCACAGAUGAUAAAUUCAGAAAUUUCAAACUUUGCCGAGUUCUACUUUCCAGCAGAAGUGCAGACCAAAAACAGAAGACCUGCUUGGCAUGAUGAUAGAGGUGAACUGGCAACAUAUCAUGUUUCGGUUCCAGACAUCUUCACAGAUGUUGGACGACUUAGCGGAAAACCAAAGGACCGUCGACUUACUGAGCAGGAGCGCAGUCAUUUGCAAACAUAUUUGCUCACCAACUGCGAAGAUGUUCUUCAAUAAGAGAGGUAAAUAAAUUAGCUUACAAAUUUUUAUUUUAACAAGUUGAAAUUUAAAUCUUAAUUAAUUAUAUUAUUGUCAACAUAUGUACAGGAUUUUCAUGGCAGAAAAGCGGUUCGAAUAUAGAUAAGCCACAGAGGAGAAACUUGAAGAACUGAAGCAGAGAGAAUUUUCUGGAUGAAUGCUUACUUAUGUGAGUGCUUUAAACAAAUUAAAAUAUUAUUUAUCACAUAUUUAUACUAAUUCACAUAUAUUGAUAUAACAUAUAUAUGUGCUAUUAAUAGGUGUCUGCUAGUAUGACCAGAGGUGAAAUAUUUGACGAUUGGAUACGCGAGAUGGUGCGUGGACCAGUUGUGAAGUCAUAUCCGAGACAUUCUCUCGUAUUCGAUGACUCUGACAUGCAUAGUAUAGCCUCCUGGACAAAAUACUCUCCACUUCAUCUUCUUCAGAGACGCUUUUCUGUGGUGGUGAUAUUCGUCAAUUGGGGACACAAGAAUCUUCUGGGGUCUCAGUCAUCCUUACUAAAAGCAGGAGAGGAGAAUGAAGUGACAUGCGUGCUGUGGUUCCUAAACCCAGACAGCUACGGCGAAACUCCUGAUAAACAGAAAGCAGUUGUGUAGAAUUUCUUCGAGUACAUGGCAAUCAGAAUACUCGGCGAUGGUCUUUACGAUAUCCGAAUAGUUCUGACUAUGGACAACAUCAUAUUAACAAACUUGCAGGUUGAGAAGCUAGCCAGAGAGAGCUUCUUCUUCCUUGGAGAGUCCUUCCCGCACAAUUCAGUGAGCUUCGGUGAAUUCUCAGACACAUUCACACUAUGCAGAAGCCUAUGCUAGUCUCUAGACCAGUCUCCUAAGUCUUUGAUCUCCAUCCUCCUACUGACACCCAGUUUGGUGAAUACACCCUGCUGGCCUUCACAAAAUCUCUUCACAACCAAUGACCUUAUCGUCGUGUUAGAAAUGGAAUCUACUUUUUUUUUUUUUUGUCUCUGUCGUCUACUAUUAACCUAUAACCCUCUUUACCCAUUUUUAGAUGGCUUUACUUUUGUGAAUCUCGAAAAUGAAACUUGCUAAGACUAUCAAAUGUUUGCUCUGUGUCCUGAAAUGAUUUUGCUUUGAUCCA